UUAUUUUUAUCUUGUUUUAAAUUAUUUGUUUUAAUGUUUGUUUAAUUGAAGAAUCAUUUUGUUGUUGUAUAUUUGUGAUUUAAUUCUUUUUACUAUAGAUUAUUUGUACUGUAGAGGUAUGAUUGUGUUAUUAUAUUUUAGAAGCUGAUUUUAUUUGUUGUACCUUGUGUAUCAGGGUUCAUUGAAUUUUAUUAUUUAUUUUUGUUUCCCGAUUUUGAAGGAGUUAAUGGUUUAUUUUAGUUAUUGUUUCAUCAUUAUUAAUAAUAGGCUGUUGGUAGUGAAAUGCUAUUCGUCUUUAGUGGUCUCUGGUUUUUCAAGAAAUGAAUUUAAUUCAUGCUCUUUGUUUAAUUUUUAUUUUUAUUUUAUUCUUUUUUAUUUGGCGCUAAGAUUGAGGGGGAUCAGCUCCUUGUUUUAUUUUUAUAAUUUUGCUUAUUAUUUAGUUUUGUGGAUUUUAUGGUGAUUUUCAAUUUGAUUAUGUUAAAAUUUUAUUUAUUAUUUUGUUUAUUUUCCUUGUAGUUUAAUUUGUUUAUUGGAAUGUCUUCUUUAAUUGUUUUAUUGGNNNNNNNNNNNNNNNNNNNNNNNNNNNNNNNNGAAGGGCCGCGGUAUUUUGACCGUGCAAAGGUAGCAUAAUCAUUAGUUCUUUAAUUGUGAUCUGGUAUGAAUGGCUUGACGAGACAUGGGCUGUCUUAAAGUUUGAAUAUUUAAUUGAACUUGGUUUUUGAGUUAAAAUUCUUAAAUGUUUUUAUGGGACGAGAAGACCCUAUAGAGUUUAACAUUUUAUUUAUUUUUGUUAUUUGUUUGUUUUGAAUUUAUUAAGUAAUUUAAGUGUUUUGUUGGGGUGAUGGGAGGAAUUUAUCUAACUCCUCUUUAUUUUGUAUACUUAUUUGUAUUAUUUUGAUCCAUUUAUUUUGAUUAUAAGAUUAAAUUACCUUAGGGAUAACAGCGUUAUCUUCCUUGAGAGUUCUUAUUGGCGGGGAGGUUUGCGACCUCGAUGUUGGAUUAAGGUUAAUUUUUGGUGUAGGAGCUAAAAGUGAUUGGGUCUGUUCGACCUUUAAAAUCUUACAUGAUCUGAGUUCAGACCGGCGUGAGCCAGGUUGGUUUCUAUCUAUAAUUUUGUUUUAUACCUUAGUACGAGAGGACCGGGUAU
rnacentral:rRNA from 1 species